UGAAGAAAGCUGAUAAGCAAAUUUUGGAGCCCCUGAUGAAUCUUGAGGUGACAGUGAGCAGAGACUACCUCAGCCCUGUCCUAGCAGACCUGGCACAGAGAAGAGGGAACAUUCAGGAAAUCCAGUCUCGCCAAGACAACAAAGUGGUUAUCGGAUUUGUUCCCUUAGCAGAAACCAUGGGUUAUUCAACUGUGCUUCGAACAUUAACAUCAGGCUCAGCUACUUUUGCCUUAGAGCUGUCUAACUAUCAAGCCAUGAAUCCUCAAGAUCAAAGUACGCUGCUCAGCCAGAGACAUGGCCUGUCCUAAGUCCUUGGAGGGAAGCUCAGGAGCACCUACCUACUUCGUUUUCAGUAAGAACAAUUUAAAAGAGAACUUGAACAGACGGUGGCACUGGUGCUGCUCAUUCUGCUUUAUAGCAUGAGAAACGUGCUUUGAUGUUGACGGUUAAUGUACCCGAGCUGUAUUGUGUGUCUAGUAAAUUAUUACUGUUGAUAGUUAAGAUUCGGUCUUUUGGAAUAUACUGAUAGAUAUCACAAGGUUUUCGGUUGGUUGAUUUUACACUUCUCUCACAAGAAAGAUGUCAGCCUUCUAAUGUAUAAUAAGAUGGAGGUUCAAUCAAUAAAAAGAUAUUUUAUUCAAAAACAUGA